rnacentral:rRNA from 1 species
GUCUAGAAUCUUGCGCAAUGGGGGAAACCCUGACGCAGCCACGCCGCGUGGGUGAUGAAGGCCUUCGGGUCGUAAAGCCCUGUCAGGAGGGAAGAGACGGCGAUCGGUUAAUACCCGGUCGUUUCGACGGUACCUCCAGAGGAAGCAUCGGCUAACUACGUGCCAGCAGCCGCGGUAAGACGUAGGAUGCAAGCGUUGUUCGGAAUUAUUGGGCGUAAAGGGCGUGUAGGCGGUCCGUUAAGUUCCGUGUGAAAUCCCUCGGCUCAACCGGGGAACGCCGCGGAAUACUGGCGGACUUGAGUCUGGGAGAGGAAGGUGGAAUUCCCGGUGGAGCGGUGACAUGCGUAGAGAUCGGGAGGAACACCAGUGGCGAAGGCGGCCUUCUGGACCAAGACUGACGCUGAAACGCGAAAGCGUGGGGAGCAAACAGGAUUAGAAACCCGAGUAGUCC